rnacentral:rRNA from 1 species
AAUAGAUACCCGGGUAGUCCACGCCGUAAACGAUGUCGACUUGGAGGUUGUUCCCUUGAGGAGUGGCUUCCGGAGCUAACGCGUUAAGUCGACCGCCUGGGGAGUACGGCCGCAAGGUUAAAGCUCAAAUGAAUUGACGGGGGCCCGCACAAGCGGUGGAGCAUGUGGUUUAAUUCGAUGCAACGCGAAGAACCUUACCUACUCUUGACAUCCACGGAACUUAGCAGAGAUGCUUUGGUGCCUUCGGGAACCGUGAGACAGGUGCUGCAUGGCUGUCGUCAGCUCGUGUUGUGAAAUGUUGGGUUAAGUCCCGCAACGAGCGCAACCCUUAUCCUUUGUUGCCAGCGGUUAGGCCGGGAACUCAAAGGAGACUGCCAGUGAUAAACUGGAGGAAGGUGGGGAUGACGUCAAGUCAUCAUGGCCCUUACGAGUAGGGCUACACACGUGCUACAAUGGCGCAAUACAAAGAGAAGCGACCUCGCGAGAGCAAGCGGACCUCAUAAAGUGCGUCGUAGUCCGGAUUGGAGU